rnacentral:rRNA from 1 species
UGCAUGUGUUCGGCACUCUUUGUAGUGCCUGCGGACGGCUCAUUAAAACAGAGAUAACCUACUCUCAGUGAUAGACGGAUAACUAUGCUAAUUGUGUGGCUAAUACGUGAGUUUAUCGCUUGUCGAUGUCCCAACUACCUUGGUAUUUAACUUGAUAGUUUGUUGGGUUCUUAGGCUCUGCCUAUAGAGAAUGGGUCUCUGAUCUAUCAGCUGUAGACGGUUGUGUAUUGGACAACCGUGGCUUUGACGGAUAACGGGGAAUUAGGGUUCGAUUCCGGAGAGAAAGCAUGAGAAACGGCUUUCACAGCUAAGGUUGGCAGCAGGAGCGAAAACUUUUCAAAUAGGCAAUGCCUGAAAAGGUGACUAUCUGUAUCAACAACUGCAAUUUGUAGUUGAUUGAAAUGAGAGACCUCUAGACAGCGUCUCGAGUAGCAAGUUCAGGGCAAGUCUGGUGCCAGCAGCCGCGGUAAUACCAGCUGAGCUAGAAAUGGGUAAUAUUGUUGCAGUAAAAACGUNCGUAGUCACUCUCUUUCUUUCGGGGACUUCCUUUGUGUUUUCCUCUUUUGAAUGAGUAAUGUUGAAUUUAUUUGACAUUUCCUCCGCGAGUAAAAUA